UUUUGCCCUUCUGAAACGACCUGUGAAACGUUUUAUCCUCAUUUUUCCGUUAGCGUUCGUUCAUUUUGUCUGUUCGUCGGUGAAUUACUUCCUGUGUAACGUUUUCCUCAGUUUGAUUUUCUUUCUUCCAUAUACCACCAUUACUUCUUCCUCAGUCGAACCAUCGCUGCUACCGCUUCCUUUUUCCCAUCUCCAUUCCAAGUGAUGCACAUCCUAUUGCGUUCUUAUCCUUCAUUAUUGCAACACCGGUGGCAGAAUUCUUCAAUUUGAGUUCUUCUUUGAUCGUUCUCUCAUUUCUUCCCCAUUUUAUUUUACCUUCACACAGCAAAGAUUUGGAUUUGGAAAUGGGAACUGGAUUCGAACACCCAUUUUCAAGCAUCCGAGAAUGUCAUAGGAAUUGAAAGUGUCCAAGAAACUGAAGCGGCGAGAGAGUGGACAAAUAUCCAUCGAAGGCAAAGGUGGAAGGCCAGACGGGGAUGGCGGCGGAGUUCCUUUUUCAUGGAAGGAGCAAUCAAGCGCGUCACGAAAACAAAUACGGAGGUUAGGGACAUGCUUUAUAUUUCAUUCUCCAAGUGUUUGAAAGAGUUCAUUGUUAAAGAAGGUAUGGAAAGCACUCCAUUUCCUUUCCCAUUCCCAGUUCUUCUUAGGUUAGGAUUGAGAGCUUUCAUCUCCUGGCAGUCCAUGGACAAGAUCCAUGUGUGGAUCUCUCCAUCAGGAUAGAUAGGUUCUGUACCCAUUUUCUGUUCUUUAUUUUUAUUUCUAUUUUUAUUGAGCUUUCUUCCUUACUUUUUGUUCAAUUUUCCCUUUCAUAGUUUGAUUCAUUCAUCAUAUUUAACAUGGGUUGAUCAUAUAUUAAGUGACCGGAUUCUAAAAGGAAACAAAACUGGAAACGAAUUUGUUGCAGAUGGGAACGAGAAUGCCCCUACAACUAUCUUCAUUGAUGUAGUUGAAUUCUUUCUAUAUGUUCAAUCUGAUUGAAUUAAUGUUUUGUUAUGAUGAUACUCUUCUUACUAUGGAAACUACAGCCAUAAUGUGAAUGCUGACUUAGACUAUGCAUGUGGAAUAUCGCAAAGCAAACUCCUAUUUGUUUGGGUAUAUAUGUUUCUCAUCAGUAUCCUAUUUUUUAAAAUUUGUAUAUAGAUUGGUUUAUUAGUUUAUUUGUGUUUGAAUGAUUGGUGGCACCCGUACAAAAUUCUUCUACUUUCGGUGAUCAUGUGCAAGUCUUCCAUGGUUUGUUCUUAUCGUUUCGUUUCUACUCCCUUCCUUUCUUUGGUUUUGUUUUUUUACUACCAUAGAUUGUUCUUACCGUUUCAUUUCUACUCCUUUCGUUCUUUGGUUUUUUACCCUUAGUUUCACCACCAUUGAUUGUCUUUUGUUUUCCCUUCUGUAUGUUGAAUAGGCAUUUGGAGAGCUGCGCAAUUCUUCUACUUUAAGUGAGCAUGUGCAACUCUUCCAUUAGUUUUUUUUUAAAAGUAAAAUUGAAUAUAUGGGGGUACUAGGAGUACCCCAACCCUGUACAAAGAGUGGAGAAAAUACAGGGGAAAGGGAAGAAAAAAAGGAAAAAAUAAGAGAAGAACAUAACAAUCUGUUACUACUGCUAGGAAAAAAGAAAAAAAGAAACAGAAUAAAACAGCCAAAAGACAAAGCCAAUGCCUCUGUCUAAUUCAGAAAAGACAGCCCCUUCCAAGCUCAAACAGCGCCUACUUCAGCUUAGCAAGAAGGUCCACCAUCUCACAAAAUCUGCUGCAGCACGCAAGCUUAUAGGUACUUUUCUUCAAGCGGGGAAAUAUAUGUGGGGUCUUUAGGUUGAGAUUGUUCUCAUCUGAUCAAUCACUUGGAGGUCAGCAACACUAUCUAUAACUACUGAAUUAGUAUUAAAUAAAAGAGGCAUUAUUAUUGAAAUGUUGCAGAAAACAACAUUUUUAUUGCUAUUUUGAGUUUUUGACAUCUUAGUGUAUAUUAGAAAAUGUUUGUAUGACCUACACGGCUACACCAGUAUAAGUACACUUAUUGAAAGCUAGAAAACAAUGAUUCGAGGUUGGCCUCAGCUACAUAAAGGGAUUUGAAAGGAAAGCAUGCAAGUACUAUUGUCUUUCUCCAUUGAUUAAAGGUGUUUGGCAGUCUUAUGAGAAGUAUAAGCACAAUGGCAGUAACCGCAAGAUUGUUACUCCUGAUCUGGAGGGAAUUAUCUUUCAGCACUUUAUAAAUAAGAUAAAGGUCAUCACGGAAGAAGAGAUUUUGUGUUCGUAGGGGUGACAAAGUUCUGAAAAGCAUUCUUCUAUGGCAUAUUGCAACAUAUCUAUGUUAUAACCCUGUCUCAUGUGAAGAGGAAACAUAUAGCGAAAGGGGUUUAAGUUUUAGAGAAGGAAGAAAAUUGUUAUUAGAGUACAUGUUGUAUCUGAGAACAUCCAUGCUGCCUAAUGAGAUUGGUGAGUAUGUGUCUCCAUUAGUUGGAUAGAUAGGACCAAGUCUGUCAUUUGAUGUGUGCGGGAUGGAAAAACAUAUACAAAUGCUAAGGGAGGAUGAAAGUUGGGAGGUAAAAGCGACGUGAGACUUAUUCACUUAAAUGUGGGUUGAAAUUCAUGCUUAUGCUCCUAGAGCUACCUUUACAAUCUUUACAAUUGUAUUUUUUAAAUUGCACAUCGAUAUUACCGGUCUUAAUACUAAAUUAAUUGGCUCAACUGCAAAAAAACUUUUUCCUCUCCAAUUGUGUCAUU